AUACGGAGGAUGCGAGCGUUAUCCGGAUUUAUUGGGUUUAAAGGGUGCGUAGGCGGUCGGGUAAGCGUAGGGUGAAAGUCCUCUGCUCAACAGAGGAAGUGCCUUCCGAACUGUCCGACUGGAAUGCUCCUGCCGUGGGAGGAAUGUGUGGUGUAGCGGCGUAAUGCAUAGAGAUCACACAGAACACCGAUUGCGAAGGCAUCUCACGAAGGGGCUAUUGACGCUGAGGCACGAAAGCGUGGGGAUCGAACAGGAUUAGAUACCCUGGUAGUCCACGCAGUAAACGAUGAUGACUAACCGUCGGUCAAGACUGAUCGGUGGCCAAGCGAAAGCGAUAAGUCAUCCACCUGGGGAGUACGACCGCAAGGUUGAAACUCAAAUGAAUUGGCGGGG
rnacentral:rRNA from 1 species